rnacentral:rRNA from 1 species
UACGAAGGGGGCUAGCGUUGCUCGGAUUCAUUGGGCGUAAAGGGUGCGUAGGUGGCGUGGUAAGUCGGGUGUGAAAUUUCGGAGCUUAACUCCGAAACUGCAUUCGAUACUGCUGUGCUUGAGGACUGGAGAGGAGACUGGAAUUUACGGUGUAGCAGUGAAAUGCGUAGAGAUCGUAAGGAAGACCAGUGGCGAAGGCGGGUCUCUGGACAGUUCCUGACACUGAGACGCGAAAGCGUGGGGAGCAAACAGG